CGGGAACAGCCUUCACACAUAGCUGACACGUCCCCCGGCAGUCACUGCCACCCGAAGGGCUCUGCGUGGCGCCCGCAGGCACGGCAGUGCGGUGCUGCUGCCGGGAGCGGGCCCAGCGGCCGCCACGCACGCCGGGCUGCCGAGCAGAACUGACCCCACUGCGGCUGGGACAGCCAAAAACGUACCAAAACCCAGAGCCACCUCCGCAGGCUGUCAGUACAGCCGUCCGUCCAAAAGCUGCAUUUCAAACGCUGGGACGUGGAAACUUCGCAGGCGAAGCCCUCCGACAACGGCGCCGCGCGACCGCGGCCCCCCGGCACGGGACGUGCGAGGACUGAUGUGUGCGUUACGGAGCGGCGAACAAAGGGCCCCGCGGGGCUCCCCGCGCUCCGCGCGCGGGACGGCCCGGCCCGCACCCAGCCCUCGUUCGGCCGCUGCUCGGCUGACGGAGGGGCGCGCGCCUCGGCACCGCGGCACUCCGCUUUCAGCCGCGCUCUGUGAAGUGCUUCCAAACCCAUCUACUCAAAAAAAAAAAAAAUAGAAAGUAAUCUCGGGGUAACCGAAAGGCGCACCAGCAGCAAGCACCGCGCCGGGCCACGCAGCUCCCGGGGCGAACAAAAGGGCCGCGGUCCCGCAUUCCUCCGCGCCCGGGGGGAGCAGGGGGGGACGCGGGACGAACGGGACCGCGGGCGCUCCGCGCAUACAAAGUCCGCCGAGGGCCGCGCUCCGCCCCGCACAAAGCCGGAGCGCGGCCGCCGAACCCUCGCCCCCCGCCCGCCGGGACACGCGGCAGCCGCUCGGCCGCGUGGAAGGGAUCUCCCCCGGCCCCCCCGGCCCGCCGCCUCCUUCCCACCUCCCGCGGGGAGGGCCCUGAGCGGCGCCUCCCGCCGAGGGGUCCCGCGGUUUGGCUGGGGGGGGGGAGGGGGGGGGGUGUGCGGGGCGGCGGCCGCGGGGAACAAAGGAGCGGCGGUGCCCGGGAGAGGCUCUCGGUCGCCGCCCCCCGCCGCGCUCGGGCAGCCUCGGGCCGGGCCGCCUCGGGCCGGGAGCGGCGUUAGGCCGCGCAGGAGCACUCACCGCUGCAGCACCAGGAGGAGGGCGAGCCCUGCGGGAACUUGGCCGAGUCGGGCGCGAUGCAGACGCUGGAGCCGAGGUGCGGGCACUCCAUGGCGGCGGGGCGCGGCGGGCGGCUCCUCGCGGCUCUACGACGGCGGCGGCGCCCCGCGCACAACAGCCAUCUUAGGGCCGGGCCCGCGAUCCGCGCGCCGAGCUUUGCGGGCAGCCGCUUCCCGUCCGCGCCCGCCGCUCCCUCGGACCGACCCGCCCCCCGCCGGGCUUUCCGAGCAGCCGCCCCUCGGCACGCUGCGCGGCGGUGACGCGCGGCACCUGGGGCCGGCCGGGCCGCUCCGCCCCGCGCCUCUAUUGCGUGUGGAGCACAGAUCCGCCACCGCAACGCCUCGGCAAGAAGGGAUCUUUUUAAUCCCUUAAUUUUUAAUCUACUUAAUUACCGCGACUCCUGCGAGGUGAUAUCGCACCUUUUCUCUUGCCCCAACCAACGUGAAAUACAUAGGAUCGGUCUCACAGUGACAACCCCGCCGCAGUAUGACUUCUGCUGCAUGCACUGAUUUAUCUUUCAGACCAGACAGAGGUGAAAAUGCACGAUCCGUGGCAGCAAAGCUAAUGGGCGCAGGGGACCGUGAGGAAAGAAGCCCCGAAACACGCCAGGAGCUCCACGGGCAACGCUCGGCUUUCUCUGAGACCCCCUCUUUUCGUUCUGGAAGGCUGCAAACUUCUCACAGCAAAAACAAACGUGGCUUUUGUUUAAGAGGUUUUGACUCUUCCCUUUACUGCAUGUCUGUACAGCUUGCGGUACCGUGCAGAAGGAAAAACGUCCUUCGUCCCCUGCUGUGGAAUUGUUAAGAUGUCCAUAACAGGAGCACAAAAGGACCCGCAGUUGCAGGAAGGUCAGUCCGGGCCGCACAACCGGCCCACAGCAGCGCUUCCUGCAGCGGCACACACCUGCGCUUUCACUUCCCUCCAUAGGAAGGUGUCGGCUCACCAACACAGCCCCUUCCUCUUGCACUCCUAGGAGCCACAACCACAGGGCUGUGACACUUUGCUCCUCUGCAUGCUAACAGCACUUUAUUCUUCCUUUAAUUUGCAGGCUGGCAGUGUGAUCUUGCCCAAAUAUUUGCCUGUUCCUUGAUUUUAAUUGCCACAUGUGUCCCAAACGUGGGGUAGCCCACAUUCAUCUCAUGCAGGGGGGAAACUGGAAUAGAAGCUCCAGGUAUUAUUUUCCUGUUCAGUUGGUUCGUUCAGUAAGAUCCACUGAGGAAAAAGAAAACACAUUUAAUUUGGAACUGGGGUCCCAUCUCUUUCUCCCAUCCUUCCUCAGCUCAGUCCAGUGUAGAUGAUAGCUGAGAUAACUCCUGCAGGCACGCUCGUGAUGGGUGCAAAUCAUUACAUAACAGGGACCUGUGGUGAGCGUGUUAAGUACGUUAGAAAUUUCCAUUUAAAAUAGUAUGCCAUCAGCUCUACUGCAAGAGAGACACUCAAUACAGUAUCCUUUUGUGGGAUAUCUGUAAUCAUCCAUCUGUGCUAUAGGCUCCAUCUAAGUUUAGAAUUUGGCCCUAAAUUGGUAUCCUGCAUACACACCUACAAUUUACUGUGGGUAGUUUUGCCUGGGGGGUUCUUUAGUACUGUAUUUAAGACCUUUGGUAUUAAAUGUUUGAAAAUAUUAACCCGUGUAUGUACUAUGAUGUGGACUAAAGGUGCAAUAGCAGAAGUUCACCUGUGGUCUUGGCUUCCUUCAGAAUCACUGGGUGGACAUCAUUCAGGGGACCAAGUGAAGCAGUUGAUGCCUUGAAUGACUUCCUUGUUUGCUGUAGGAGUUGGAGUGAGUGGAUGGCAUGGAGAAGGAAGAACACUGGAGGAGUGGAAUGAAUGCUAAACUGAGGAACUAGAAUCUCUCUUUACCAGGCAGGGAAAGGUAUUUAAACCAACAUUUUAAGCGGAUGUGUCUGCUUAAGUUAAAAACCUAGCCUCCUUCCUGACUGCAGCUAAGGAAAAGAGGCCAGCUCUGUCCAGGGCACACAUUUUGGAGUCCUCCUGUCUCUCCCAGCUAAAAUUUCUGAAUUAAAUACAGAUAGAAAUAAUAUCCUCUCCCACAGCAUGCUUCUUCUUUUCUAAGUGGUGAACUCAGCACAUGCACCAAGCACUCCAAAUUUAAAAGGUUCUGAGCACACAAAGCAAUGAACACUCUGAGAACACCAAGUGCCUAUCCAGACCUAGCAAAGGCAUGCGAGAGUGUGCUUCCACCUCUGUGUAUCGCAUCCAAAGAGCAGGCAGUUCCCUGUGCUCCCAGAGGUGUGCAGGUGCAACAUUCGGGUACAAUGGUGAUAACAAUGUGGACAGUACAGAAACCUGCAGGGAAAUGAAUUAUUUACUCUGUGGACGCAACUCCGAGGCAGACAGCUGGCCUGAAAAAAUCAAUAGAAACCAUCAGGAUGUGGCUAAGUAAUAACACCGGGUCUCAGCUUAAUAAAACCCUUAGUAGAGGCUGG
rnacentral:lncRNA from 1 species